rnacentral:rRNA from 1 species
CUACGGGCGGCUGCAGUGGGGAAUAUUGCACAAUGGGCGCAAGCCUGAUGCAGCCAUGCCGCGUGUAUGAAGAAGGCCUUCGGGUUGUAAAGUACUUUCAGCGGGGAGGAAGGGAGUAAAGUUAAUACCUUUGCUCAUUGACGUUACCCGCAGAAGAAGCACCGGCUAACUCCGUGCCAGCAGCCGGCGGUAAUACGGAGGGUGCAAGCGUUAAUCGGAAUGACUGGGCGUAAAGCGCACGCAGGCGGUUUGUUAAGUCAGAUGUGAAAUCCCCGGGCUCAACCUGGGAACUGCAUCUGAUACUGGCAAGCUUGAGUCUCGUAGAGGGGGGUAGAAUUCCAGGUGUAGCGGUGAAAUGCGUAGAGAUCUGGAGGAAUACCGGUGGCGAAGGCGGCCCCCUGGACGAAGACUGACGCUCAGGUGCGAAAGCGUGGGGAGCAAACAGGAUUAGAUACCCGGGUAGUC